GACCACCGUCAAGUUGUCCUGAUGGCUCACAUGAAGUUCCGUGCCGUUCCGACCUCGUUUGAUACGGUUAUGGUUAACCACACGGCCCCUCGGGCCCGACCCGAGCCCAGUCAACGUUUUGACCCGAUCAAAUCGGCCCGUGACCCGAAACGACCCUACUUGGGCCCUACAACAGCCACGUAAAGUUUCGGGAUGAUCCGAUGUUCUUUCAUGGGGUUACGGACAAUCCACGCCAAACAAGCGUCACGGGCCGACCGAGCCGGGCCAACGGGCCCUCGGGACCCGAAAACUGAAUUUUUUUUCAUCCAAACCCAUUAAAACACGUUACCGAGGUCUCACGCAAAAUUUCAUGCCAAUCCGACGUCGUUUGAUGGGGUUUUGAAAAAUUAUGAUUCCUCAAAAAUUUAAUGUCUGUUCCUGUCACUUAGCUUUUUGUGCAAAAUGUAUAUAUAGGGGAGGGGUGGGUGUUGAGCAGCCCAUGCCCGGGCAAGGCAUGCCAGCGCCCAAGCCAAAGGAGGCUGGUGGCGUGCGUAUAACAGCUCAAAUGCCCCAACGAUGACCGAGAACAAGCGCCCAUCUCCCAUCCUUCCCCCCCACCAAGCGCCCCUCCCCCCCCAUGUUGCCUGCCCACUCGCACAGCUACUCGUGAUUUCAUGCCCAGCGACUAGUGAAUGUGCCUCGACGACCAGCAAACCUCGAAAAUUAUGAUUCCUCGUAAAAUUAAUGUCUGUUCCUGUCACUUUACUUUUUGUGCAAAAUGUAUAUAUAGGGGAGACCAGGGGCUUGAGCAACCCCUGUGCCCAAGCAAGGGUCAGAUGGAAGCACACGAGACGCGAGGUUUAAAGCCUAUACGACCAAGGCGUCUGUCUCCCCAAGCCCCAUUGCCUAUAAAACAAGCCCGAUGCCUUGUAAAUGCCCCACACGAUGCCUAUAAACCACAACGAUGUUUGCUAGUUAAUCGAUCGACGCCCCACACCUUGCAGCAUGUUGCCUAGUAAACAAGCCAUGCUGCCUUGGAAGCGCCCCACAUCAUGGCAUGUUGCCUAGCACGCUGCCCUUGUUUCCCGCACGGCGACCUGAAAGCGUGGCCUGACGACGUGCUUGCCUUCGAAAAUUAUGAUUCCUCAAAAAAUUAAUGUCUGUUCCUGUCACUUUACUUUUUGU
rnacentral:rRNA from 1 species